rnacentral:rRNA from 1 species
GAUGAACGCUGGCGGCGUGCCUAACACAUGCAAGUCGAGCGAACAGAUGAGGAGCUUGCUCCUCUGACGUUAGCGGCGGACGGGUGAGUAACACGUGGAUAACCUACCUAUAAGACUGGGAUAACUUCGGGAAACGGGCGCUAAUACCGGAUAAUAUAUUGAUCCGCGUGGUUCAAUGGUGAGAGUCGGUUUUGCUGUCACUUAUAGCUGGAUCCGCGCCGCAUUAGCUAGUUGGUAAGGUAACAGCUUAACAAGGCAACGAUGCGUAGCCGACCUGAGAGGGUGGUCGGCGACCUGGGAGCUGAGACACGGCCCAGACUCCUGCGGUAGGCAGCAGUAGGGAAUCUUCCGCAACGGGCGAAAGCCUGACAGAGCAACGCCGCGUCAGUGAUGAAGGUCUUCGGAUCGUAAAACUCUGUUACUAGGGAAAAACAAAUGUGUACUUAACUGUGCCGGUCUUGACGGUACCUGAUCAAGAAGCCACGGCUAACUACGUG